rnacentral:rRNA from 1 species
UUGGAGGAAUGUAUAGCGAAAGCUAGUUGCCAUUUUAACUUAGCCGAAAAGCUAAGUUGAUUGCAGGAUUGACUAUGUCAAAUAAAGUUCUAGGUGGGUUAUGAUGAUGACAUUUCCUAUCUAUGUGUCUUGACCAAAUUACGUGCCAGCAGUCGCGGUAACACGUAAAAGACUAGUGUUAUUCAUCUUUAAUAGGUUUAAAGGGUACCUAGACGGUAAAUCAAGUCCAAGAAGGGUACUAAUUUUACUAGAGUUUAAUAUGAGGGGGCACUAAAGUACUGAUAAGUGUAGAGAUGAAAUUCUGUGAUACAAUAUACGGCACUGGUAAAGGCGAAAGCAUCUCAUUAUGUAAUAACUGACGUUGAGGGACGAAGGCUAGGUGUAGCAAAAAGGAUUAGAUACCCAAGUAGUCUUAGCAGAAAAUUAUGAAUGUCAUAGGAUGGAAAGUUGGAUGGACAAACAACAAAUUUUUUUUUCUAUAAAUGAAAGUGUAAGCAUUCCACCUCGAGAGUAAUUUGGCAACAUUGGAACUGAAAUCAUUAGACCGUUUCUGAAACAAGUAGUGAAGUAUGUUGUUUAAUUUGAUGGUCCGCAAAAAACCUUACCACAAUUUGAAUAGAAAAAUUUUUUCAUACAACGCGCUGCACGGUUGUCUUCAGUUAAUGUCGUGAGAUCUUGGUUAGUUCCAUUAAAUUAACGUAACCCCUUACUCUAUUUUUAUAUAGAGUAGUUCACCGCUAGAUUGGAUGUGAUAACAGGGACUAAAUACAAGGUCAUCAUGGGUCCUAAUAUUUGUGGG